rnacentral:misc_RNA from 1 species
AAUUUUCUCUCUCUCCAAUGGACUUCGGCGAUGAAGAACCCUUAUAGGCGUUUUUUGAGCAACUUUCAAUUCCUUUAGUGAUGAUAUAGUUUGCAAAUCUUCAUCACUGACAGGACGAGAAAUCCACACCAAUGCAGCGUACUGCUUCUGCUUCUCUGCCUCUCCUUCACGCAUGAGGUCCCACCCUUGACUGCCUACAGCUCUA